UUCGUAGGCGGUGCGGCAAGUCGGGAGUGAAAUCUCUGGGCUUAACUCAGGGGCUGCUUCCGAAACUGCCGUGCUCGAGUGUGGGAGAGGCGCGUGGAAUUGCAGGUGUAGCGGUGAAAUGCGUAGAUAUCUGCAGGAACACCCGUGGCGAAAGCGGCGCGCUGGACCACAACUGACGCUGAGGAACGAAAGCUAGGGGAGCAAACAGGAUUAGAUACCCUGGUAGUCCUAGCCCUAAACGAUCAGGACUUGGGGUGCGCCCGUUCGGGCGUCGUCCCGGAGCUAACGCGUUAAGUCCUGCACCUGGGGAGUACGGUCGCAAGACUGAA
rnacentral:rRNA from 1 species